rnacentral:rRNA from 1 species
AUUGAACGCUGGCGGCAUGCCUUACACUUGCAAGUCGAACGGCAGCACGGGGCAACCUGGUGGCGAGUGGCGAACGGGUGAGUAAUGCAUCGGAACGUACCUUUCAGUGGGGGAUAACGUAGCGAAAGUUACGCUAAUACCGCAUAUUCUGUGAGCAGGAAAGCAGGGGAUCGCAAGACCUUGCGCUGAUUGAGCGGCCGAUAUCAGAUUAGCUAGUUGGUGAGGUAAAGGCUCACCAAGGCGACGAUCUGUAGCGGGUCUGAGAGGAUGAUCCGCCACACUGGAACUGAGACACGGUCCAGACUCCUACGGGAGGCAGCAGUGGGGAAUUUUGGACAAUGGGGGCAACCCUGAUCCAGCCAUGCCGCGUGAGUGAAGAAGGCCUUCGGGUUGUAAAGCUCUUUCGGCCGGGAAGAAAUCGUAUGCGUUAAUACCCUGUGCGGAUGACGGUACCGGCAUAAGAAGCACCGGCUAACUACGUGCCAGCAGCCGCCGUAAGAC